UUAAAUACAUACAAACUUUAUUAAAAAUAGGUUACAAGUGAAAUACAGUAGAAAUUGAAAAUUACAGCAGUUGUAAUGUCUUCAAUAACAUAAUGCACAAUUAUGAAAAGCAUCUUUAUGUAUAUCAAGGAAACUGUCAUAUAGACAUCUGAUCUUGGGAUUUUUUAUUUUAAUUUUUAAAAUAAAUUUUUAUAGCAGCAACAAUAUGCAUUCUCAAUGAAAAUCAUUAACUGUUUGAACUUAAAUUAACUGGUAUAAUGUGAACUAUAGCGUGUCUGCCACUUUUUUUCCUUUUUUUAAUAGGUAGUCAGGAUAGGCUUGGCUAGGCCCAUGUUUUUCUUACAUAAACAGAAAAAGGAGACUCUCUGGGUACUUCAUAAACAUUUUCUAUGAUACAAUAUACAAAUGAGAUGUGUACAACAGUGACUGUACUUAAGACUGCUCAAAAGAAUUUACACAUCUAAAAAACACUCCAUUGUGAAUUUCUAAAAUCAAGGGAUUUUUAAGGGAUUUCAAAGGCGUCCUCUUCCAGCACUGUUUUAAUAUAGUACAGAUACAUUUUUUUCUGAUAAACCAUAUGGCUCAAAUGAUUAUUCAUUCGGUUUAUGUAUAUAUAAAAAAAAUACAACUUUAAGCCAAAAUAUACCGAAACCCCAAAAAUAAAUUUUCGGGAAAUAGUGAGGAAAAAAAUCUAGAAAGCAAGUGAUUAUAAAAACAAGGCUGAAAGAUAAAUAGACGGCACACUAUGUUCUAACUGUGAAUUGAGGACUAGAUGAUCAGUGGGUCUUCUUCAUAAUAUAUUUCAGUCUCAUUUUGCACAAGUCUCUUUCCAAAAAGACAAAAAUAGUUCAAAUGCAGAUACCUUCUUUGGAGCAAUAUGUAAAAUCGAAAGCAAGCUGCAAUUGCUGUAUAGGACAUGUUGGUAGCCAUUUCCUUACUUGCCCUUUUGCUUGAGCAAAUAACCACACCAGAAAAAAAAAUGAAAAAUUAUAU